UCUCUUGUCCAGAUUCUUCUUCUCUAGUCCAGAUUCUUUUUGGUUCUCCCUCCUUCUUCUCCUUCCUUCUUCUCCCUCCUUCUUCUCCCUCCUUCUUUCUGUGGUGGGUGAAACCUUGUUGUGGUGUGUCGUCGUCACGUGGUCUGCCGUGGGUGAAUAUAUUUUUAUAAAUUAGGUUUAUACUGAUAAUUAGGACUGUGUUGUGCUGUAAGUAAUUAAGAUUAGGGAUGUAUAAAGAACGAGGAGGUGUUGCCGUCACUGUUUCUGCUUCCAAGUAGGAGGAUCGGAAGCGAAUCAACGACGUUCUCGACAAGCACCUCGAACGAUUCUCGCCCUCCACUUCUUGCCCAAUCAACGCCACCUCCAAAAAUUCCAACCUCUAAGCGGAGGAAUCUGAAACGGAGAGUGAAGAGUCUGAUGUUAGCGGUUCGGAUGGAGCUGACACCUCUUGGAUCUCUUGGUUCUGCAAUCUUAGGGGAAACGAGUUCUUUUGCGAGGUCGAUGAUUAAGAUAUUGGGUGACAUACGUGGUGUGGCUAUUGAUGGUGUCGAGGGAGAGAAAGUUAACCUCACUUAACCUGUUGCUGAGGCAAUAGGAGCUGCUUUUGCUGCAUGGUUAAUGGAGAAGAAAAAAGCUGACUCUUCCCAGCAUUUGAGAGUUUCUAUUGGCCAUGAUACUCGAAUAUCAGCCAAAUUAUUACAGAAUGCAAUUUCUCGAGGUCUCGCUGGUGCUGGCCUAGAAUUUGUCCACUACGGAAAGUUUUGGUUUGAAGCGUGUGAUUGAUGCGUGAUUGAUGUUUCUCCAUAUUUAUUGACAAAGCGUGUGAUGUCCUUGGAUAUAGCCCUGUUAAUGGCUGGAGCAAAAGAAAGAGGAGAGCUAGAGGAACAUGUUACAAAGUUGAUAAAAGACGUAAUAAAGUCAAGUGAAUACUGUAAUAUAAAAGAAUGUAUAAGAGUUUGAUGAACACGUGCUUGACGUGCUAGAAGAGGAUUGUUUUAGCUCUCACUGAUUAUUCUCGAAAUGCAUGUGAUUCAUUCUCUUCAUUGAUGACGUUCAUAUACUUGUUCGGGCAGGAACAGUUGGGAGAGGAAAUAAAGGAUAUGGCCUUGACAUAGCAAAUUUACUCAAACCUGCACUUGGAAGGGGUCGAUUUCAGGUGAUUAUUAGUUAAUUCUAUUCUAAAUUACUCCUGAAGAUAAACACGUUUUCUGUUUGAGGGCUGGUGUAGUGUAAACAAUUAACAAUACGGUAUAAGAUUAAGGUUGGAGAUCAAAGUAUAUGGUUAGUACUUACUACACAUUUACAGGUGUCUGAUACCACCCUUUCAAAGUAUUUUUAUUGAAUAAGCUUAUCAAUUUACAUUUGGAAACUGCAAUUCAAGGUUGAGAUUAUUAAGAAAGACGUCUUGAUGAAAAUUUGGGAGGUUAUCAUUCAGUAAAUUGUGGAGU